GCAUCUGGAUGAUGGGGAUGGACCACUGACAAGUGUUUUCAUUGAUCUGAAAUUAGCAAGACCACAGGCCAGAGUUGUCUCAAAUCCUCGCGUAUAUAUGAAUCACCAGGGCAUCUUGUUAAGAUGCUGCAGGUUUAGGGAGGGGCAGAGAGUGUGCCUUUCUAACAAGCUUCCAGGUGAUAUUGAGAUCUUGAUGCAGCUGGUUCUCAGACCGUGCUUUGAGAAGCGAGGCUACGCUUACCUGGCAGUUUGCUUUUCGGAGAUUUAUCCCGAGGGAACAUGGAUAAUAAAAGCUGUAUUGGGUCAAGAAGUUUUCAUCUAAGAAGGAGGAUUGUGCAAUAGAAAGAGGACUAACGAGGAGCAGGAAAACCAGGGCUGAAUUCCAAGUUAUGCAACAAGCUAACUGGGUGCAUUUGGAUAAGCUAUAGCCUCUCUGAGCUACAAGGAGGAGGUUAAGCUGUGUUGAACAUGUAUCCAGAGCACAAACAGAAACACCCAUUUGGAAAUGUCUGGAUUUGAUGAUGUCCAAGGUCUCUUCUUAACGCGGAUAUCCUGUGAUCUCAGUGACAAGCAUAAAGAGGGAAAGAGUUGGAGACUCAGUGAGAGACAGGGGGCACCCUCAAAUCAGGAUAAUUUGAGGAAGAUCCAUGAAGAGGCUAUUUUCAAAGCAAAAUGCAGUGUGUUGGAGUAUUCCACGUUGCUCUAUGAAGAGGUGCUGACGGCAUCAUCUUUGCUUUUCUGCAUGUGUUCGGUGAUUAUGAAAACACAUGCAAGUAAUGCUGAGUCAGCCUCCUUUGCCUCUGCGCAGGGAACCUCAUGGGGACUAAUUCAAAACUCCAUGUCUACAAAGGACAGAUCAUUCUUGAGAGCCACUCACAAGGUCUCUUAGGUAUUCAAUUACAUUUUCUCAAGCCCUUUUCCGGUUUCUAGUCCUACUGUGAGCCUGAAAAUCUGAGAAAUUCAGGAGCACUCCCUCCCGGAUGAUAAUUAUAUUUCUAAAACAUUUUAGGUUCAUACCUAUCAGGCAGCAUAAAUUCCUUUAUUAAUUCAAGUCAGUUCAGUAAGCAUGCAUUGAGAGCCUGGUAACACAUUAAGCCUCAUGCUAGACAUUAGGAAUACAAAGUUGUAUGAGACAAAGUCUUCGAACUCAAAAGAUUAUCAGGGUAGUUUGAAUAUUCAUUGUUUUACAGAGGAGCAGCAGCAAUAUCAUGCCUCAUAGUCUCAGCCAUCGUACCAUGAUGAAGCAUUCAGUUGUGUCCUAUGUUCUUCAUUCUUUGAUUUGCCAGCCUCCCCCAAGAUCUACCUUGCCCAGUGACUUCCAGUUGAGUUUGGCCAAUGGAGAGCACAGCCAGAGAUCAGAGGUUGGGUGGAAUGUUGGGGGUCAGUAUAUUCAUUCUAAUGGCUCCCUACCUGUAGGGUCACUGUUGGUUGACAGUCUCCUUCAACUGUCAGGUCGUCCUCUCCACACAGCCCUCUGCCUCCCUUAGACCUUGGUGACCACUCCCUUCCUCUGCCCCUUUGGGCCUAGGGGUGAGUGGCACCCUUCUGUUACUAACCCUGAGCACUCUGCCAUUCAUUCCUUACGAAUGACUUGCUGCUGUU
rnacentral:lncRNA from 1 species